AACGAACGCUGGCGGCAUGCCUAACACAUGCAAGUCGAACGAGACCUUCGGGUCUAGUGGCGCACGGGUGCGUAACGCGCGGGAACCUGCCCUUAGGUUCGGAAUAACUCCCCGAAAGGGGUGCUAAUACCGGAUAAUGUCUUCGGACCAAAGAUUUAUCGCCUUUGGAUGGGCCCGCGUUGGAUUAGCUAGUUGGUAGGGUAAAAGCCUACCAAGGCGACGAUCCAUAGCUGGUCUGAGAGGAUGAUCAGCCACACUGGGACUGAGACACGGCCCAGACUCCUACGGGAGGCAGCAGUGGGGAAUAUUGGACAAUGGGCGAAAGCCUGAUCCAGCAUUGCCGCGUGAGUGAUGAAGGCCUUAGGGUUGUAAAGCUCUUUUACCCGGGAUGAUAAUGACAGUACCGGGAGAAUAAGCUCCGGCUAACUCCGUG
rnacentral:rRNA from 1 species